AUCCACAUUUUGCAGCCUGUUUGUGACACAGUAACAUUUUUCCUGCCUCCAGUCGGAUAGUUGAUGACGUGGAGAAGGACUUUAAACAGUGGCACGCUAACAUUUAUCCCCUCUUUCAUAUGCUCGAAUGCUGAAAGAUGUUAGGGCCUGUUAGGCUUUUCCCUCCCUUAUUCUAUUAUUUGGAGAGCGUAUCUGCCAGGCAACACGUGCACUGCAUUUGUUCGCCAGCAGAUGGCAGUCUGGAUUUUUAUGGCUAUGAUAAAAAGAGGAGGGAUCAUUGGGAGAUGAGACUGAGAUGCUUGAUACAUAUAUAUUUCAUGUUUUACACUGUAGAUCUGAUCAGGGUCUUCUAACUGGCAUAAUCACGUAGUUAUCUCUAUAUUAGAUGAUGUAUUUGAUAUGUUAAAAGAGGUGAACAGGCAUUAACCGGUCAGCCUUUGCUAAAUGUGUAUGUGAUCCCUUUUGCUUACAGGUAGUAAUAAUAAAGCACACAAUCCAGAGACUAAAAAAGAAAUUAAUCUUUGUGUAUAUACCAUGGCAUUUUUUGCAGCAACGACACUCAACUACUCUGCAACAUUUUUUACAAUUUGAAUUGUGUAAUAAUGAUGGAAAAUUAUAUGUUUAAGCUUUGAGGGUCCAUAAAUAUCAAUGAACUCGACAUCAUAAGAAUGAUCUCAUGGCUUAGAGAAUAGGACAAAUGCAUGUGCAAAAGUAAAUGUAAAAUAUCUCAAGACGUCAGUGGGUGAUCUUCUCUCAUUUUCACUUAAAUAUAUUUGAUAAUUAUGAAAUAUGAUGCAGUACAUAUCUUCAUUGCUUUGAUUUGCUUUUUUGCUGAGUUUAUACUAAAGAAAACUUAAGUCCGUAUUUGGAUAUAUACUCACAAUAUAUUUGUCGAUGUAUAAUGAAAACCUUUGACCGUAUGGUUACAACUACACAAUCUGGUCAGGUUGAAACAAAUGUGUGUUCUGCUAAGGAUUACCAUCCAUCACUAAUGCUUCCCUUCAUCUGCUUUUAUUUUAUCUUUAAAAGCUUCUGAAUUCCAGAUUCUAUUAGUAACAUCUUUUCUAAUGGCAUGCUCGAUGCUAAUUCAAGGGUUUAUUGGUAAAACAAAUACCUCAACUCUGAGCUCAACCUCCUAAGCCGACAAAGCAAUAUAAAACAAAAAGUCACGCUCCCCAGUCUCUUUUCAGGAAAAAGCCCUCUGCCUGCUCCCCUGCAGUGAGCAUUUUAGAUGCAUUAUGAGGCCUUUGUAAUGCAUAAUGGUCGAGUCAAAGGGCCUCCCAUCUCCAUAUUCAUUAAAAGGGCAAUAAGACAAAAGACAGGAAUGAAGGAAUUUUAGGAAUACUUAAAUUACAUAGUUUGAUAAACAUAAAUGGGACAAAAUACUAGAGACAAAAAAUGGGAAAAGACAAAAAGAAAAGUCUUCAUUAUUAAACUUAUUGCAAUGAAUAGUACACUGCUUUCUUGAGUAAUCUCUUGCAUGUAUGAUCAUUUUCUUUAUCAGAUUCAUUGACUUCUUACUCCCCCUCAAGCUCCUCACACACCGUCCGUGUCAUGCUUCCUCCCUCCUUCCCUGGACUGUGCCUCUCUCCGUCUCUGUGACCAGUCUAUAACCACACUCUCGCAGCACAACACCUCCACCAACUCCAGCUCGGCUCCAUCAGAUAUGCCAGAUUCCGACGAGGCCGCGCCAGCGCCAUGCCAGAUUAUCAAAACCAAGGUUGACAAAUGUUUCAGAGAGAAGAGACCGGAGGACUGUAGAGAUCUGAUAGUUGCCUUCCAGGUCUGCAUAAAAACCCUGUCGGAGGGAUCAUAGUACAUAAGGAAAUACAUAUUAUUCAAAUCUUCAAAUUCCUCUAUUCUCUCAUCUACCCUCUCCUCACUUAUUGUAAUGGACCCAAAAGUGAGGGGGGGGGGGGGGGACUCCAGACACUAUAUGCUUCUCUGAAUGUGAAUUUUCCUUUCAUAAAUUAUGUAAUUCCAUUAAGCAUUAUUUUAUAAAAACUGAUUAUUGAUGCACUCUAUUUUAUUAUGCACAAAAUACUCAAUGCAAUAAAAAGUACCACACACACAAUAUACUUUCAAAAAAAUAUUCUGCAAUUUAAUGAUUUGUUUGAUCUACUGUUUGUUGGAACCUCUCUGCCUUACAUUCAUCUGGAGUAGAUGCUCUUAAUGGAAUUACGAAGAUCUUGUUAAUCUCUGCUUAAUCCUCACAUUAGUACCUGCACCAAGCGGUCUAAUGUCAAUUUCACAGUCUGAGCUCUGGAAACGAAUGUGGGAAUGCACAAAGAUUAGACUGGAGCAAGGAGCUUGAAAAGUUUUUCUUCUUGAGCCGUCUGUUCUCAGUAUAAAUGGGCGGUGACAAGGUGUGUGCUAUAGAACAACCACCUGUGUAAUUCUGGAGCGCAGACUGAUCCUGGUGUCCUAUGUUUUCAUCCCCCAGCUUUCCUUGCUGGACUCCCAUGUUCCCCUCAGUCGUAUGUUUUAAACACCAGUGAGAAACAAACACACAAAGCAUGAUUUAUCAGUUUAUUAGGUUUUUUUUUACUCUCAUAAGGUAAGAGGAUAAUUUUUUUCCUACAAGGUGUCAUUCACAACACUGAUGAACCAUUUUUCAUUGCACUGAAAAAUCUUGAUCUCAAAAGACCAUCAG